AUUGAACGCUGGCGGCAGGCUUAGCACAUGCAAGUCGAGCGGAGAUGAGGUGCUUGCACCUUAUCUUAGCGGCGGACGGGUGAGUAAUGCUUAGGAAUCUGCCUAUUAGUGGGGGACAACAUUCCGAAAGGGAUGCUAAUACCGCAUACGUCCUACGGGAGAAAGCAGGGGAUCUUCGGACCUUGCGCUAAUAGAUGAGCCUAAGUCGGAUUAGCUAGUUGGUGGGGUAAAGGCCUACCAAGGCGACGAUCUGUAGCGGGUCUGAGAGGAUGACCCGCCACACUGGGACUGAGACACGGCCCAGACUCCUACGGGAGGCAGCAGUGGGGAAUAUUGGACAAUGGGGGGAACCCUGAUCCAGCCAUGCCGCGUGUGUGAAGAAGGCCUUAUGGUUGUAAAGCACUUUAAGCGAGGAGGAGGCUACUGAGACUAAUACUCUUGGAUAGUGGACGUUACUCGCAGAAUAAGCACCGGCUAACUCUGUGCCAGCAGCCGCCGUAAAAC
rnacentral:rRNA from 1 species